rnacentral:rRNA from 1 species
AACGAACGCUGGCGGCGUGCCUAACACAUGCAAGUCGAACGAGAAAGGGGCUUCGGCUCCGAGUAAAGUGGCGCACGGGUGAGUAACACGUAGGUAACCUGCCUCUAAGAUUGGGAUAACUUGUCGAAAGAUGAGCUAAUACCAAAUAAGACCACGGUUCCCUCGGGGACAGAGGUCAAAGGUAGCCUCUAUUUAUAAGCUAUCGCUGAGAGAUGGGCCUGCGUACCAUUAGCUAGNGGUGAGGUAACGGCUCACCAAGGCAAAGAUGGUUAGCUGGUCUGAGAGGAUGAUCAGCCACACUGGGACUGAGACACGGCCCAGACUCCUACGGGAGGCAGCAGU